rnacentral:misc_RNA from 1 species
AACAUCGCGCACCUGCGGGAACCUGCGGAAGGAUCAUUACCGAGUGCGGGUCCCCUCGCGGGGCCCAACCUCCCACCCGUGUCUACCGUCACCUGUUGCUUCGGCGGGCCCGCCUUCGUGCCGCCGGGGGGCCCUCUGCGCCCCCGGGCCCGCGCCCGCCGAAGACUCUAGGAACACUGAAUGAAGGAUGCCGUCUGAGUCAAACGACACAAUCGUUAAAACUUUCAACAACGGAUCUCA